GAUGAAGAACGCAGCGAAAUGCGAUAAGUAGUGUGAAUUGCAGACUUUAGUGAAUCAUCGAAUCUUUGAACGCACAUUGCGCCCUGUGGUAUUCCGCAGGGCAUGCCUGUUCGAGCGUCAUUUCAACCCUCAAGCUCUGCUUGGUGUUGGGCCCUGCCCGCUGCGGCCGGCCCUAAAGACAGUGGCGGUGCCGCCUGGCCCUGAGCGUAGUACAUCUCUCGCUCCAGUGCCCGGUGGUAGCCUGCCAGAACCCCAACUCUCGUGGUUGACCUCGGAUCAGGUAGGGAUACCCGCUGAACUUAAGCAUAUCAAUAAGCGGAGGA
rnacentral:misc_RNA from 1 species